rnacentral:rRNA from 1 species
AGAGUUUGAUCCUGGCUCAGAUUGAACGCUGGCGGCAGGCUUAACACAUGCAAGUCGAACGAUGAAAUCUAGCUUGCUAGAUGGAUUAGUGGCGAACGGGUGAGUAAUGCUUAGGAAUCUGCCUAUUAGUGGGGGAUAACCAUCCGAAAGGAUGGCUAAUACCGCAUACGUCUUACGAGAGAAAGGGGGCUUUUAGCUCUCGCUAAUAGAUGAGCCUAAGUCGGAUUAGCUAGUUGGUGGGGUAAAGGCCUACCAAGGCGACGAUCUGUAGCUGGUCUGAGAGGAUGAUCAGCCACACUGGGACUGAGACACGGCCCAGACUCCUACGGGAGGCAGCAGUGGGGAAUAUUGGACAAUGGGCGAAAGCCUGAUCCAGCCAUGCCGCGUGUGUGAAGAAGGCCUUUUGGUUGUAAAGCACUUUAAGUGGGGAGGAAAAGCUUGUGGUUAAUACCCAUUAGCCCUGACGUUACCCACAGAAUAAGCACCGGCUAACUCUGUGCCAGCAGCCGCGGUAAUACAGAGGGUGCAAGCGUUAAUCGGAAUUACUGGGCGUAAAGCGAGCGUAGGUGGUUACUUAAGUCAGAUGUGAAAGCCCCGGGCUUAACCUGGGAAUUGCAUCUGAUACUGGGUGACUAGAGUAGGUGAGAGGGAAGUAGAAUUCCAGGUGUAGCGGUGAAAUGCGUAGAGAUCUGGAGGAAUACCGAUGGCGAAGGCAGCUUCCUGGCAUCAUACUGACACUGAGGUUCGAAAGCGUGGGUAGCAAACAGGAUUAGAUACCCUGGUAGUCCACGCCGUAAACGAUGUCUACCAGUCGUUGGGUCUCUUGAAGACUUAGUGACGCAGUUAACGCAAUAAGUAGACCGCCUGGGGAGUACGGCCGCAAGGUUAAAACUUAAAGGAAUUGACGG